UGACUCCAUACUUCCCACCGUGACAAUAAUGGACUAGACCUCUGAACCUGUUGUGUCUGAAGGACAUGAAGGCAGAAACGGGAGAAGGUGGGAAAGGAAGCAAGGUGUGUAUACACUACCAUCUCGAGUUAGCUUCAGGUUGGAUCUUCUGAUGGUGGAGGGGCAGGUUGUUCAUGGAACAGAAGUCGCGUUCCUGGAGGGCAAACAAAAAAGGCUUAUGGUGACCACGGAUUGUUUAUCUGAGGACCAGAUUCUAGGAUGUUGUACCGAGUGCACUGCAUGGCUCUCUCCCCGACUCUACAGUGUCUUAAAUUCCUACCUUGGCUCCAAGAGGCUGACGACCCAGAGACAUCUGACUGUAACUGAGCUGGACUCCCUCUGCCUGCUGGUCAGCAUACACAGCGCCUGAAGGUGCUAGGCAGCCUGCUGGAGCAGAAUCAUCGUCAGCGGGCUUACUCAGACAGUGCUGCCCCGACAUUGGGAAGAGAAGCUCCCUUUUGCAAAGGGUAGAAGCUAAUACAGAGACUUGUAUUUGGCAAAUGGGCCGAGAGUAAGUGACCUCCGAGUGCCCAGCUAUGUCACCCCACUAAAGGCCCUCGAAGCACUGUAGAAGAGGGAGCAGAAAGAGUGUAGGAGUUGAGGAUGGGGAGGAACACCGUGGAACACUUCCAUCCAGAUAGGAUGCGGCCAUCGGAGUCAGGCUUGCACAGUGGCUAUGCAUACCUAUACAAGUCUUACACAAGACCGGACCCGUCAACAUUCCAUCGUGGAUGGGGUAGGGUCCCAGGAGGCCCUCGCCCUUCCAGGGGAACUAGAAAGGGAUGGUGACAUUUUCUUCAGUGCUGUAGCCACUGGUUAGUUGCUCAUGCUCCAGCCAGUGGUCCCAGACCAUGUUGCAAGCAACCCUAAUUAAACUCAGUGGGUUAAAAAAAUAUCAGGAAGCAAAGAGUAAACAAUGGGAUCUGACACCCUGAUUUACAGAGAAUUAAAGCUUGUAGAGCUUCACGAUCCAAAAAGAAGGAGGAGGAGAAGGAGAGGCAGCAGCAGCAACAGCCAGGCUGGCGAGAUGGCUCUGCAGGUAAAGGCACUGCCAAGCCCGAUGACCUGAGUUCAAUACCUGGAACCCCCUGAGAAUUGUCUUCUACCUUCCACACACAUGCUGCAGAACGUAAACACAGGAGCACACAAUAAACAAAUAAGCAAAUAGACAGACUGCCUUAUGUAACAAUAUUAUACACAAUGAAAAAUUCUAAAAGAAAUGUUUUAAUCUUAUGAAAGACCAAAACAAAAUGAACAAAUCAAAUAACAAAAAUCAAGGGAAGCAUUUCUGAAACAGCCCUUACCCUUCUUGACCAUCCUACCUACCCGCCCUGUAUGGGAUGUGGAAAACUGAGGCUCGCCAGCCUUUUCUACUUGAAUGAAGAUUGUUGAGGAAAUAGUUUUGUUUCUCAUGAAAGUUAGUGAUUUUCAAGCUAUAGUUAUAUUUUGAAAGAAGCAGAGUUAUCAUUCAUUAGUUGGAGCAUGUUGCUUAACCAAAGUCUUUUUACUGUGUAAUUUCGUCAAAAGGAAGUAUCCUCAAAAUAAAAGAGUGAGUGAGUGAGAGUGAAAUUUUAGUUCCAAAGGAGAGUGAUUCCUAAAACAAUCCAGGACAGUUAUGUAAAGUUCUUUGGUAUUUCCGCCUUCAAAAAAAAUUAAAUUCAAGAAACGGACAAGAAGGAAAUAAAAAUCCACAGGAAAGACAAAGUCACCUGGAGGAUCAGAGGUUCUUAACAUCCCGUAGCCCCACAGGGUGUGGCACUAUUAGGAGGCGUGGCCUUGUUGGAGUAGGUGUGAUGCUGUUGGAGGACCUGUGUCACUAGGGGCGGUCCUCACUCAGAAGCCCAAGCCAGACCUGUUGUGUCUCAGUCUCUUCCUGCUGCCUGCAGACCCAGCUGCCUCUUCAGCACCAUGUCUGUGUGCCGCCAUGCUUCCU